UUUAGACGUGUUUACAAACUUGCUAAGUUACCAGCUAAACUGUUACCGAUUCGCAGCUGGACACAUCCUUCUACACUGUAUGCAAACAUGCAACAUCAUUACACACAGUACAAGGAGUCAGACUGGCAUAUGAGGAGCAAAGGAACCCAGACAGUAGCAUCGUUUCACAAUGUUUCCAUCACCAUCAUCAGUGGAUGCCUUUGCCGUCCAUAGCCUGAGAUUUCAGAUUUGCAGCAAAAAACUUGAUUUUCCCAUUUAUUGGAAUGCUGUGCAGGUUGUACCUUGCAGCUAUCCAUUACAAUGUCACCAAGCCGUAACAAAAGCAGGAGAGGGAAAGUACAAGGCUAUGGUCCCAAAACACACAAGUGACAUACCUUAUGUGGAGGAUGUGAUCAGGCUUGUGUUUGAUGAGGUAUUUGAAGAUAAGCUGAAGGACACCCCGAUUCCAAUGGACCUGGCAUCACAGUUUGAGAGACCUUCAAAGGAGGACGUGAUUGCAUACCAUCUUCAGUGCAGGGGUUGUCGGAAGCCAACAUUCUGAUCAGGAAGCUCCAAGCGUAUCUGGAGAACAACACACGACAGGAUGAUAACCUUAUAGUGUCGUCUUAAAUAGCACCAGCUGACAAAGCUUUGAUAUGCCAUUUAUCUGAAUAGAUAGCUGUAAGAAGUGAAUUGAACAAUUUUUGAAAGAAGAGCACAAUAUGGUUACU